rnacentral:rRNA from 1 species
UUCCGUAAGGGGGACUGCGGAAGGAUCAUUACCGAGUGCGGGUCCUUUGGGCCCAACCUCCCAUCCGUGUCUAUUAUACCCUGUUGCUUCGGCGGGCCCGCCGCUUGUCGGCCGCCGGGGGGGCGCCUUUGCCCCCCGGGCCCGUGCCCGCCGGAGACCCCAACACGAACACUGUCUGAAAGCGUGCAGUCUGAGUUGAUUGAAUGCAAUCAGUUAAAACUUUCAACAAUGGAUCUCUUGGUUCCGGCAUCGAUGAAGAACGCAGCGAAAUGCGAUAACUAAUGUGAAUUGCAGAAUUCAGUGAAUCAUCGAGUCUUUGAACGCACAUUGCGCCCCCUGGUAUUCCGGGGGGCAUGCCUGUCCGAGCGUCAUUGCUGCCCUCAAGCCCGGCUUGUGUGUUGGGUCGCCGUCCCCCUCUCCGGGGGGACGGGCCCGAAAGGCAGCGGCGGCACCGCGUCCGAUCCUCGAGCGUAUGGGGCUUUGUCACAUGCUCUGUAGGAUUGGCCGGCGCCUGCCGACGUUUUCCAACCAUUUUUUCCAGGUUGACCUCGGAUCAGGUAGGGAUACCCGCUGAACUUAAGCAUAUCAAUAAGACGGAGAGAACAUUACCGAGUGCGGGUCCUUUGGGCCCACCUCCUCGUGUCUAUUAUACCUGCUUGCUUCGGCGGGUCGCGCUGGUCGGCGCCGGGGAGGGCGCUCUUGCCCCGGGGCGUGCCGCCGAA